AUAUUUGGUUAAAAGAAUCCCAUUAUAAGAUACCACGUUAAGUGUACCCUCUCGGACAGUUGCAAAAAGAUGUCUUCAAACACACGUCCAUCGAGUAAGUGAUCUCAAAGUAUCAUCUCUCUUAUCGUCAAAACUCUUUUUUUUUUCCCUCACUUGUCACCUACUUCAACUCACAUGUAUUCCCUUAUUGUUUUCCACAGCGUGUGCUACACCACUUUGUGGCAAGGAUAUAAAAAUAUCCUUAGGGCCCUGUGGGCACAUGCUUUGCCAUGCAUGUGCUCACAGAGCAUUCGACAUGGACAAAUGUCCAAUAUGUCUUAGUGAAAUAGCCGUGGUAAGUCUCGUUAUGGGGUCUAUGAUGGACCCAAAGCUUCUCGACGCCAUUCAUAUGGCGUCCGAAAUCGUCUUCAACAACAACAAAAAAAAAGUGAAAACAAGAUCCACAUCAAAUUUCAAAAGCUAGAUGCUCUUGCUCCACAAGAAGUGUACCGAAAAAAACAUCACCGUCUUGCAAAUUGCAGUUCAUCCAAGAAUGCAAAGACUAUACAAACUUUUAAAACUUUGACUAAGAAACUCUAGUCUCGUUCCCUCCUACUUUUUUUUCUUUCUUCUAAUUUCAUUGUAAAAAAAGAAGUUAAGGGUAAGGCGUAUGGGUUUCUUAAAACAAAAACUAUUGGCGUCAUCGUAACUUAGAAAUGUAAACCUCAGUACGAAGAAAUUGAAAAAAAGUGUCACUUAGUGAUAGGUUUGUGUGUGUGUGUGAGAGACCGAGUUUGCGUAAUGAAAAACAAAAGCUGAAGGAUAUUUCAUAUGGAAAGGGUGAAUGUGAAAAAACACCUUGUACGCACAACAUUUCUUAGGUUUCCUCACAUGUUUCAGAUUAAUUUCGUUUUCUUCGUGCUACUAAUUCGUGGGAAAAUGUGAAUAGUGAUACAAAAACUAUUAGAGUCAUGGUAACUUAGAAAUGUAAACCUCAGUAAGAAGAAAUU